AUGAACGCUGGCGGCGUGCCUAAUACAUGCAAGUCGAGCGAACAGACGAGGAGCUUGCUCCUCUGACGUUAGCGGCGGACGGGUGAGUAACACGUGGAUAACCUACCUAUAAGACUGGGAUCACUUCGGGAAACCGGAGCUAAUACCGGAUAAUAUAUUGAACCGCAUGGUUCAAUAGUGAAAGACGGUUUUGCUGUCACUUAUAGCUCGAUCCGCGCCGCCUUAGCUAGUUGGUAAGGUAACGGCUUACCAAGGCAACGAUGCGUAGCCGACCUGAGAGGGUGAUCGGCCACACUGGAACUGAGACACGGUCCAGACUCCUACGGGAGGCAGCAGUAGGGAAUCUUCCGCAAUGGGCGAAAGCUUGACGGAGCAACGCCGCGUGAGUGAUGAAGGUCUUCGGAUCGUAAAACUCUGUUAUUAGGGAAGAACAAAUGUGUAAGUACCUAUGCACGUCUUGACGGUACCUAAUCAGAAAGCCACGGCUAACUACGUG
rnacentral:rRNA from 1 species